AUUGAACGCUGGCGGCAUGCCUUACACAUGCAAGUCGAACGGCAGCACGGGUGCUUGCACCUGGUGGCGAGUGGCGAACGGGUGAGUAAUACAUCGGAACGUACCUUAUCGUGGGGGAUAACGCAGCGAAAGCUGUGCUAAUACCGCAUACGCCCUGAGGGGGAAAGCGGGGGAUCGCAAGACCUCGCGCGAUUAGAGCGGCCGAUGCCUGAUUAGCUUGUUGGUGGGGUAAAAGCCCACCAAGGCGACGAGCAGUAGCUGGUCUGAGAGGACGAGCAGCCCAACUGGGACUGAGACACGGCCAAGACUCCUACGGGAGGCAGCAGUGGGGAAUUUUGGACAAUGGGGGCAACCCUGAUCCAGCAAGGCCGCGUGAGUGAAGAAGGCCUUCGGGUUGUAAAGCUCUUUUGUCAGGGAAGAAACACCGGCUCUAACACAGUCCGGGAAUGACGGUACCUGAAGAAUAAGCACCGGCUAACUACGUGCCAGCCGCCGCCGUAA
rnacentral:rRNA from 1 species